UGAUCCGGGCGAGUGCCACACGGCCAGCUCCCUGUGAAUCCCCUAGGGCUUGACCGCAGCAAGGGUAGCGGGUCGUAGCGGCGCGAUGUGGAUUGCUCGCCCUU
rfam:Porphyromonas asaccharolytica DSM 20707, complete genome.